rnacentral:rRNA from 1 species
ACUCAAAUGAAUUGACGGGGGCCCGCACAAGCGGUGGAGCAUGUGGAUUAAUUCGUCACUAACCGAAGAACCUUACCCAGGUUUGACAUCCUAGGAACCCUGAUGAAAGUUGGGGGUGCUCGCAAGAGAGCCUAGAGACAGGUGUUGCAUGGCUGUCGUCAGCUCGUGUCGUGAGAUGUUGGGUUAAGUCCCGCAACGAGCGCAACCCUCACCGUAUGUUGCCAGCGUAAAGUCGGGAACUCUUACGGAACUGCCCGUGCAAGCGGGAGGAAGGUGGGGAUGACGUCAAGUCGGCAUGGCCCUUACGCCUGGGGCUUCACACAUGCUACAAUGGGCGGCAACAAAGGGCUGCUAAACCGUGAGGUCAAGCAAAUCCCAAAAAUCCGUCCUCAGUUCGGAUUGUAGGCUGCAACUCGCCUACAUGAAGCCGGAAUCGCUAGUAACCGCAGGUCAGCUAAACUGCGGUGAAUACGUUCCCGGGCCUUGUACACACCGCCCGU